rnacentral:rRNA from 1 species
GAUGAACGCUGGCGGCGUGCCUAAUACAUGCGAGUCGAGCGAACAGAUGAGGAGCUUGCUCCUCUGACGUUAGCGGCGGACGGGUGAGUAACACGUGGAUAACCUACCUAUAAGACUGGGAUAACUUCGGGAAACCGGAGCUAAUACCGGAUAAUAUAUUGAACCGCAUGGUUCAAUAGUGAAAGACGGUUUUGCUGUCACUUAUAGAUGGAUCCGCGCCGCAUUAGCUAGUUGGUAAGGUAACGGCUUACCAAGGCAACGAUGCGUAGCCGACCUGAGAGGGUGAUCGGCCACACUGGAACUGAGACACGGUCCAGACUCCUACGGGAGGUAGCAGUAGGGAAUCUUCCGCAAUGGGCGAAAGCCUGACGGAGCAACGCCGCGUGAGUGAUGAAGGUCUUCGGAUCGUAAAACUCUGUUAUUAGGGAAGAACAAAUGUGUAAGUAACUAUGCACGUCUUGACGGUACCUAAUCAGAAAGCCACGGCUAACUACGUG